CUUGUGGAUAGCUCAGUUGGUUAGAGCCUGGUGCUGAUAACGCCAAGGUCGCAGGUACGAUUCCCUUACAGGA